rnacentral:rRNA from 1 species
GACGAACGCUGGCGGCAGGCUUAACACAUGCAAGACGAACGAGAUCUUCGGAUCUAGUGGCAGACGGGUGAGGAACACGUGGGAACAUUCCUUUCAGUUCGGAAUAACGUUGGGAAACUAACGCUAAUACCGGAUACGUCCUUCGGGAGAAAGAUUUAUCGCUGAAAGAUUGGCCCGCGUCUGAUUAGCUAGUUGGUGAGGUAACGGCUCACCAAGGCUACGAUCAGUAGCUGAUCUGAGAGGAUGAUCAGCCACAUUGGGACUGAGACACGGCCCAAACUCCUACGGGAGGCAGCAGUGGGGAAUAUUGGACAAUGGGCGCAAGCCUGAUCCAGCCAUGCCGCGUGAGUGAUGAAGGCCUUCGGGUUGUAAAGCUCUUUUGUCCGGGAAGAUAAUGACUGUACCGGAAGAAUAAGCCCCGGCAAACUUCGUGCCAGCCGCCGCCGUAA